rnacentral:rRNA from 1 species
CAGCAGCCGCGGUAAUACCGGCGGCCCGAGUGGCGGUCACUAUUAUUGGGCUUAAAGCGUCCGUAGCCGGGUUGGGAAGUCCUCCGGGAAAUCUGGCCGCUUAACGGUCAGAAUGCCGGAGGAUACUCCCAGCCUAGGGAGCGGGAGAGGCCGAGGGGAUUCCCGGAGUAGGGGUGAAAUCCUAUAAUCCCGGGAGGGCCACCUGUGGCGAAGGCGCUCGGCUGGAACGCGUCCGACGGUGAGGGACGAAGGCCAGGGGAGCAAACCGGAUUAGAUACCCGGGUAGUCCUGGCUGUAAACGAUGCGGACUUUGUGUCGGACAAGCUAUGAGCUUGUCCGGUGCCGGAGGGAAACCGUUAAGUCCGCCGCCUGGGGAGUACGGCCGCAAGGUUGAAACUUAAAGGAAUUGGCGGG